rnacentral:rRNA from 1 species
AGAGUUUGAUCAUGGCUCAGAACGAACGUUGGCGGCGUGGAUGAGGCAUGCAAGUCGUACGAGAAAGGCGCAAGCCGAGUACAGUGGCGGACGGGUGAGUAACACGUGAGCAAGCUGCCCUAGAGACGGGGAUAACCAUGGGAAACUGUGGCUAAUACCCGAUGGCUCUGCUGGAUCGCAUGGUCCGGCAGAUAAAUGUGGGGGACCCUUCGGGGCCUCAUGCUCUGGGACGCGUUCACGGCCUAUCAGCUAGUUGGCGGGGUAACGGCCCACCAAGGCGAAGACGGGUAGCCGGCCUGAGAGGGUGGUCGGCCACAUUGGGACUGAGACACUGCCCAGACUCCUACGGGAGGCUGCAGUCGAGGAUCUUCCGCAAUGGGCGAAAGCCUGACGGAGCGACGCCGCGUGGAGGACGAAGGCCUUCGGGUUGUAAACUCCUGUCAAGGGUUAUGAAAGUACAGUCGUUAACAAUGACUGGGAUGACGUAAGCCCUGGAGGAAGCACCGGCUAACUCUGUGCCAGCAGCCGCGGUAAUUC